rnacentral:lncRNA from 1 species
UCAAACCUCAUUCAUCUUUUGUUCCCAAAAUCACUUUAUCUCACAUAGACAUCAUCGGGAUGAUCCCCUACAAGCAUUACCAUGUGGUUAUCAAUGUCUAGAUGUUUCUUUAGAACAUAGAAGUUGUUGGGGGAGAAUAUGGUAGUUGAAUGGUCUAGAAUAUGAGGCUUAAUAGACUGUUCCCAAAAGGCCAAUUUAAAAAAUAUAUGCAUUUCAAAAUUAUAGUUAAAAAAAAUGUUCAAUACAUCAAAAAAAUUACAAU